AUUGAACGCUGGCGGCAGGCCUAACACGUGCAAGUCGAACGGUAACAGGAAGCAGCUUGCUGCUUUGCUGACGAGUGGCGGACGGGUGAGUAAUGUCUGGGAAACUGCCCGAUGGAAGGGGAUAACUACUGGAAACGGUAGCUAAUACCGCAUAACGUCGCAAGACCAAAGAGGGGGACCUUAGGGCCUCUUGCCAUCGGAUGUGCCCAGAUGGGAUUAGCUAGUAGGUGGGGUAACGGCUCACCUAGGCGACGAUCCCUAGCUGGUCUGAGAGGAUGACCAGCCACACUGGAACUGAGACACGGUCCAGACUCCUACGGGAGGCAGCAGUGGGGAAUAUUGCACAAUGGGCGCAAGCCUGAUGCAGCCAUGCCGCGUGUAUGAAGAAGGCCUUCGGGUUGUAAAGUACUUUCAGCGGGGAGGAAGGGAGUAAAGUUAAUACCUUUGCUCAUUGACGUUACCCGCAGAAGAAGCACCGGCUAACUCCGUG
rnacentral:rRNA from 1 species